GGUGCUUGCACUGAAUGAGAUUUUAACACGAAGUGAGUGGCGGACGGGUGAGUAACACGUGGGUAACCUGCCCAGAAGCAGGGGAUAACACCUGGAAACAGAUGCUAAUACCGUAUAACAGAGAAAACCGCCUGGUUUUCUUUUAAAAGAUGGCUCUGCUAUCACUUCUGGAUGGACCCGCGGCGCAUUAGCUAGUUGGUGAGGUAACGGCUCACCAAGGCGAUGAUGCGUAGCCGACCUGAGAGGGUAAUCGGCCACAUUGGGACUGAGACACGGCCCAGACUCCUACGGGAGGCAGCAGUAGGGAAUCUUCCACAAUGGACGCAAGUCUGAUGGAGCAACGCCGCGUGAGUGAAGAAGGGUUUCGGCUCGUAAAGCUCUGUUGUUAAAGAAGAACGUGGGUGAGAGUAACUGUUCACCCAGUGACGGUAUUUAACCAGAAAGCCACGGCUAACUACGUGCCAGCAGCCGCGGUAAUACGUAGGUGGCAAGCGUUAUCCGGAUUUAUUGGGCGUAAAGCGAGCGCAGGCGGUGUUUUGAGUCUAAUGUGAAAGCCUUCGGCUCAACCGAAGAAGUGCAUUGGAAACUGGGAGACUUGAGUGCAGAAGAGGACAGUGGAACUCCAUGUGUAGCGGUGAAAUGCGUAGAUAUAUGGAAGAACACCAGUGGCGAAGGCGGCUGUCUGGUCUGUAACUGACGCUGAGGCUCGAAAGCAU
rnacentral:rRNA from 1 species